AUGCGGAGGAUCCGAGCGUUAUCCGGAUUUAUUGGGUUUAAAGGGUGCGCAGGCGGCCAUUUAAGUCAGCGGUUAAAUCGUGGGGCUCAACCCCAUUCUGCCGUUGAUACUGGGUGGCUUGAUUGCGGUCGAGGUUGGCGGAAUUCGUUGUGUAGCGGUGAAAUGCAUAGAUAUGACGAAGAACACCGAUUGCGUAGGCAGCUGACCAGACCGCAAAUGACGCUCAUGCACGAAAGUGCGGGGAUCGAACAGGAUUAGAUACCCUGGUAGUCCGCGCAGUAAACGAUGAAUACUUGUUUUCGGCGAUAUAAUGUCGGAGGCAAAGCGAAAGCGAUAAGUAUUCCACCUGGGGAGUACGCCGGCAACGGUGAAACUCAAAUGAAUUGACGGGG
rnacentral:rRNA from 1 species